CAUGGGCAAUUUUUUUGUUAAGCAAAUAACUUAAUAUACUUUAUUAGAGGUUAUAUGUAGGGUUAACUGGCAGUGUUUACAUAUCUAAAACAUGUGCCAUAUUAUUCAGAAUAGGGCAUUUCUACUGUACACUGCUACCUAAUUAAGUGACAUGAGUGUAUGAUAUAUGUAGCAGUUUUCAUUAUAACGAUAAUUGAAGGACCAACCUUAUAGAACAUAGCAUUGUAACUGGAGUGUUAUAUGUAAUGAAGGUAAGAACACAUUCCAUUAGUCAUUACUGACCUUCCAUACUGCUGUGCCUUAAGAUUUGUUUUCCUUGUUAAAUUUUGUUGGAUACAUAUCUAUGAUGAUCUGAUUAACUUGUUAACCCACCAUAUUGAGAUGAUUGUCUAUUCAAAUCGCUCUACGUCUGUGGUCUGCCUGUCUGUCCUUAAAUAAUUUUUUUGUGUAUGCUUUUUCCUAAGAAGUACUUGAUGGAUCUCUUGGUCCUUAGUUGCACAUGUGCUCUAUAUAUUUUGGGACGGACCAGAAAAAACAAAAUGGCUUACAGGUGCCUAUCUUUAAUUUUGACACUGAAAAUUUGUUUUCCCUAUUAUUGACAAGUACUGGAUUGAUCAUUCUUAAAUUUCAUGUGCAUGUACCUCUUGGUCCCUAGGUGUGCUGUUGGUUUUAGGUAUGAUCAGAAAAACAAAAUGGCCGAUUGGUGGCCAUUUUGGAUUUUGACAAUGGAAGUUUAAUAUAUUGAAAUGGAGGGAUAUUCCUGAAGCUUAAUGCUUAAAUUCCCCUGAUUCCUAGUUGUUCCCUUUUGAUUCGAUGACUGAUCAGAAAAUCAAAAUGGCUGACAGGCAGCCAUCUUGGAAUAUGGAAAUAAAAGUUAAAUAUGUUCAUCACUAUUUCUUGAGAGUACAUAAAGGACAUUUCUUAGGUUUCUCUCGGGCUCUAGUGGUGUCAAUUCAAUUUUAAGUCUUUUCAAUAAAACAGCUGACAAGAAACCACCUUGGAUCAUGCCUGUUGAAGUUUUUUGAUUGCCAUUUCUUGAUUAGUACCAAAAGGAUAUUUCUGAAACUUUCCCAUGGACCCUUGUUUUGUCCAUAUAAAUUAGAAUCUUAUCAGGAAAACAGAAUGGCCAACAGGUAGCCAUCUUGGUUUUUGGCAGUUGAAGCUAGUUAUUUCCAUCUUUUCAGAGGUGCUUGACACAUACUUCUUAAACUUCACAUUUCGCUUCUUCUUAAUCCAUAGUUGUGUCCAUUAAGUUUUGGAUCAAGGAAACAUAAUGGCUUUGAUCUAGUCAGGAAAUUUGUUAUUAAUAUAUAUUUGAAAAUUCUUUUUAGGUCUUUCUUAGAUAUCAUCUAUAAAUUUCCCUUGAUAUCCAAUGAGAUGAAGGGCAGAAAGGAGCAGAAGUAGAUAAAGGAUAAGUCUUUAAUACAACCAAUACAGAUCAUUCAAAUGGUUGGCGCCAAGAUCCCUCUUUGAUCUCUUGUUAAAUAUACCAUGAUGAUAAUCAUUCCAAAGUAUAACAUUAGUUAGUUGUGUGCAUAUUUGUAGUUUUUAGCUCACCUGGUCUGAAUGAUGGUUGAGCUUAUGCCAUGCUGUGCCCUCUAUCGGCUAUUGUCUGUCUGUCCUUCUGUCAACUUUUCCUAUAAAACAGUGCUAGUCAUGAACCUCUGAGUUGAUUUUGACCAAAUUUGGCUUGAAGCAUGAAGGGAACCAAUGUUUGUAUAAAGUCUCAGGAUCUAGCCACCAGGGGCUUGUAGGGCUGGGUCCAAUAUGGGAUAGCAAUUUCUUUAAAAUCAUUCUGAGGAGUGAAGGAUUUGGUCAAGGUUAGUGGGUUCAAAAGUCAACUUUUGUAUCUUUUUGCUAAGGAGCAUUUUAUUAUCACAUUAUGGAGCAACGUUUGUCAGAAUUAUACAGACAUCAGUCUAAGGUCAAGGCCACAGUGUCAAAGGUUAAGGUCAUUUUUUGUAUUUUUACACAUGACCUUUUGUCCUGGCAGUGUGAAGAAAAAGAGUUCUUAGGGAUUAAACAAGAUGUCAGCUGACCAAAGAUAAAGACAAAUCAGGUCAAAUUUCGAGCCAUUUGGACCUUAUUUAUAAUUCGUCAAGGGCAAAUUUGAUCUCUGAUAUUGACCAUUGAUUAGAAAAAACAAGCCAAGCUUUACAAUUAAGCGUUAACUAAUAUAUAUGGAGAUGGAAGGAAAGAAAUCACAUUCCUGUACAUGUAUAAUUAUAUUUGUUUCAUAGUUCAAAUUUGAAAAAUAAAACUGAGCCCAAGCAAUAUGGGCUUCUUGAUGAUAUAUAUUAUGGGAGAUAAAUACUAACCUGUCUUUUGAACCAGACUGCUCAUAGUUUGUUUAAGGAAAAUGUUGACCGAAAUAGCUGAUGACAUAAGAGUGUUUUUCCAUAAUUAUUGAAACAUCCAAGUGAACGAUGCAGGCUCCAUUGGCCUUUGGUUUUUGCAGUGGUUUAUGGGCAGAAUUGCAGAAUGCAGAAAUUUAUUUUAUAUAACCUUAUACAGAUGGAAAUAAUCAAUAACAAAUAUUUAUAUUGUUAUUUUUGUUAUAUUUCAUACCUACAUAUACAUGCUUUAAUCAAGAGAUAUGACUGUUUGAAUAAUUGUUUUCAAUAACAUUUGCCUUUCAUCAUUAAAGUUUAAGCACAUAU